rnacentral:rRNA from 1 species
GCGCACCAGUCGAGAAUCCUUCGCAAUGCGGGAAACCGCGACGAGGGACUCCCAGUGCCUACGCUCAGCGUAGGCUGUUCCCGAGCCUAGAAAGCUCGGGGAGUAAGGGCUGGGUAAGACGGGUGCCAGCCGCCGCGGUAAUACCCGCAGCCCGAGUGGUGGCCACUAUUAUUGGGCCUAAAGCGUCCGUAGCCGGCCCGGUAAAUGCCUGGGUAAAUCGUGAGGCCUAACCUCACGAAUUCCGGGUAGACUGCCGGGCUAGGGACCGGAGGAGGGAGAGGGUACUCCAGGGGUAGGGGUGAAAUCCUGUAAUCCCUGGAGGACCACCGGUGGCGAAGGCGCUCUCCUAGGACGGGUCCGACGGUGAGGGACGAAAGCCAGGGGAGCGAACCGGAUUAGAUACCCGUGUAGU